rnacentral:rRNA from 1 species
CCCUUAGAGUUUGAUCAUGGCUCAGAACGAACGCUGGCGGCAUGCCUAACACAUGCAAGUCGAACGAGAUCUUCGGGUCUAGUGGCGCACGGGUGCGUAACGCGUGGGAAUCUGCCCUUUGGUUCGGAAUAACAGUUGGAAACGACUGCUAAUACCGGAUGAUGACGAAAGUCCAAAGAUUUAUCGCCAGAGGAUGAGCCCGCGUAGGAUUAGCUAGUUGGUGUGGUAAAGGCGCACCAAGGCGACGAUCCUUAGCUGGUCUGAGAGGAUGAUCAGCCACACUGGGACUGAGACACGGCCCAGACUCCUACGGGAGGCAGCAGUGGGGAAUAUUGGACAAUGGGCGAAAGCCUGAUCCAGCAAUGCCGCGUGAGUGAUGAAGGCCUUAGGGUUGUAAAGCUCUUUUACCCGGGAUGAUAAUGACAGUACCGGGAGAAUAAGCUCCGGCUAACUCCGUGCCAGCAGCCGCGGUAAUACGGAGGGAGCUAGCGUUGUUCGGAAUUACUGGGCGUAAAGCGCACGUAGGCGGCUUUGUAAGUUAGAGGUGAAAGCCUGGAGCUCAACUCCAGAACUGCCUUUAAGACUGCAUCGCUUGAAUCCAGGAGAGGUGAGUGGAAUUCCGAGUGUAGAGGUGAAAUUCGUAGAUAUUCGGAAGAACACCAGUGGCGAAGGCGGCUCA